ACUCCUACGGGAGGCAGCAGUGGGGAAUAUUGCACAAUGGGGGAAACCCUGAUGCAGCCAUGCCGCGUGUGUGAAGAAGGCCUUCGGUUGUAAAGCACUUUCAGUAGGGAGGAAGGUAGUGUAGUUAACACCUGCAUUAUUUGACGUUACCUACAGAAGAAGCACCGGCUAACUCCGUGCCAGCAGCCGCGGUAAUACGGAGGGGUGCGAGCGUUAAUCGGAAUUACUGGGCGUAAAGCGCAUGCAGGCGGCCUGUUAAGUCAGAUGUGAAAGCCCGGGGGCUUAACCUCGGAAUUGCAUUUGAAACUGGCAGGCUAGAGUCUGUAGAGGGGGUAGAAUUUCAGGUGUAGCGGUGAAAUGCGUAGAGAUCUGAAGGAAUACCAGUGGCGAAGGCGGCCCCCUGGACAAGACUGACGCUCAGAUGCGAAAGCGUGGGAGGCAAACAGGAUUAGAUACCCUGGUAGCACAGAG
rnacentral:rRNA from 1 species